GCGAACGCUGGCGGCAGGCCUCACCCAUGCCAGUCGCACGAACCUUUCGGGGUUAGUGGCGGACGGGUGAGUAACACGUGGGAACGUGCCUUUAGGUUCGGAAUAACUCAGGGAAACUUGUGCUAAUACCGAAUGUGCCCUUCGGGGGAAAGAUUUAUCGCCUUUAGAGCGGCCCGCGUCUGAUUAGCUAGUUGGUUGAGGUAAUGGCUCACCAAGGCGACGAUCAGUAGCUGGUCUGAGAGGAUGAUCAGCCACAUUGGGACUGAGACACGGCCCAAACUCCUACGGGAGGCAGCAGUGGGGAAUCUUGCGCAAUGGGCGAAAGCCUGACGCAGCCAUGCCGCGUGAAUGAUGAAGGUCUUAGGAUUGUAAAAUUCUUUCACCGGGGACGAUAAUGACGGUACCCGGAGAAGAAGCCCCGGCUAACUUCGUG
rnacentral:rRNA from 1 species